CCGUCUGUUCGUCUGUCUGUCUGUCCGUCUGUCCGUCUGUCUGUCCGGCGUAAACAUGUCGCACCGUAACUUGAGAACGACUUAUCCAAAUUUCAUGAAACUUAACAUAGUUGUUUCUUAUGAUGGUCAAACGAUCUGUAUACUUUUCACAUGUCGCGCCUUAUCUCAAAAACGAUUUGUGAUUAUUGCUUAAAAUUUUACACACUUCUUAGUUAUAUUAAUCUUAAGAUCUGUAUACUUUUUGGUUUUGAUUCAAAAUUUUAUUUUAGAGAUAUUGAGUUUUUUGUAAAAAAAAAGGGAGGUUUUCGCAUGUCGCGCCGUAUGUCAGAAACCAUUUAUGAUUAUUGCAUAAAAAUUCACACACAGGACGACGGGCGUAUCAUUUGCUCAUGGCGCAGCUGUUUAUUCUAGUUUUCAGACAAUAACUUGUGGAACGGUGUAUGGAUCUCUCUGAAAUUGUACAACAAGUUUCCAUACCACAAAGGGAUGGUUAGGAUUGGCUUUGGGGGGUAAUGGCUCAUAUCGUUUAGGAAUUAGGGGCAAAAAGGGGGAAAAAACAAGGGUUUCCUUGUUAAUGGACAAUCACUUUUAAGUACAAUGUGAAAAUUGGAUUACCUCCCUUACACUGCUUUGAAAUUAUGUAUAAAGAAAUUUUGUAUUGUCUUGAGGUGAUUAGCUGUCAAUAAUUUGCAUUUUUGACUUACCUUGAUGGAGUCAAAAAGCGAGAAAUAGGUAUGCUGUUUCCGGUGUCGGCGGUGGUGUCAACAAUGUAUUAGUUUGUGAUUAGGUCUAGUUUAUGGUGAACCACUAGUGGUAGGUCAAUGAUAUUUGGUAUGCAGUUGUAUUAGCAUUGGCACAUCUCAUUACCAUGGAGAUUAUUUGAAACUUUGCUUAGUUUACAUGUAUUAGUUUGUGAUUAGGUCAGUUUAUGGGUAACCACUAGUGGUAGGUCAAUGAUAUUUGGUAUGCAGUUGUAUAAGCAUUGGCAUAUCUCAUUUCCAUGGAGAUUAUUUGGCCCCGCCCCCUCAUUCAUGGUCUAUUGACUUUGAAACUUUUGCUUAGUUUUCAUGUAUUAGUUUGUGAUUAGGUCAGUUUAAGGGGAACUGUUAGUGGUAGGUCAAUGAUAAUUGGUAUGCAGUUGUAUAAGCAUUAGCACAUCUCAUUUCCAUGGAGAAUAUUUGGUCCUUACCCCUCAGUCAUGGUCUAUUGACUUUGAAACUUUUACUUAGUUUACAUGUAUUAGUUUGUGAUUAGGUCAGUUUAAGAUGAACCACUAAUGUUAAGUCAAUGAUAUUCGGUAUGCAAAUGUAUUGGCAUUUGCAAGUUUCAUUUCCAUGGAGAUUAUAUAACCCCACCCCCUUAUUAUGGUUCAUUGACUUUGAAACUUUUACAUAGUUUACAAGUUGAUGUUUGUGUUUAGGUUUGUUUAAAGGGAACGACUUAUGAAAAGUCAAUGGUAUUUGGUUUGCAGUUGUAUUAGCAUUGGCACAUCUCAUUUCCAUGGAGAUUGUUUAGCCCUGUACCUUCAGUCAUGGUUCAUUGACUUUGAAUAUUUGCAUAACUUACAUGUUAAAGUAUUGCUAUUUUAAUU